rnacentral:rRNA from 1 species
GUGGGGAAUAUUGGACAAUGGGCGAAAGCCUGAUCCAGCCAUGCCGCGUGUGUGAAGAAGGUCUUCGGAUUGUAAAGCACUUUAAGUUGGGAGGAAGGGCAGUAAGUUAAUACCUUGCUGUUUUGACGUUACCGACAGAAUAAGCACCGGCUAACUCUGUGCCAGCAGCCGCGGUAAUACAGAGGGUGCAAGCGUUAAUCGGAAUUACUGGGCGUAAAGCGCGCGUAGGUGGUUCGUUAAGUUGGAUGUGAAAGCCCCGGGCUCAACCUGGGAACUGCAUCCAGAACUGGCGAGCAAGAGUACGGUAGAGGGUGGUGGAAUUUCCUGUGUAGCGGUGAAAUGCGUAGAUAUAGGAAGGAACACCAGUGGCGAAGGCGACCACCUGGACUGAUACUGACACUGAGGUGCGAAAGCGUGGGGAGCAAACAGGAUUAGAAACCCUUGUAGUCC